GGGUUGUGAGGUUAAGCGACUAAGCGUACACGGUGGAUGCCCUGGCAGUCAGAGGCGAUGAAGGACGUGCUAAUCUGCGAUAAGCGUCGGUGAGGUGAUAUGAACCGUUAUAACCGGCGAUUUCCGAAUGGGGAAACCCAGUGUGUUUCGACACACUAUCAUUAACUGAAUCCAUAGGUUAAUGAGGCGAACCGGGGGAACUGAAACAUCUAAGUACCCCGAGGAAAAGAAAUCAACCGAGAUUCCCCCAGUAGCGGCGAGCGAACGGGGAGGAGCCCAGAGCCUGAAUCAGUGUGUGUGUUAGUGGAAGCGUCUGGAAAGGCGCGCGAUACAGGGUGACAGCCCCGUACACAAAAAUGCACAUAUUGUGAGCUCGAUGAGUAGGGCGGGACACGUGGUAUCCUGUCUGAAUAUGGGGGGACCAUCCUCCAAGGCUAAAUACUCCUGACUGACCGAUAGUGAACCAGUACCGUGAGGGAAAGGCGAAAAGAACCCCGGCGAGGGGAGUGAAAAAGAACCUGAAACCGUGUACGUACAAGCAGUGGGAGCCUCUUAAUGGGGUGACUGCGUACCUUUUGUAUAAUGGGUCAGCGACUUAUAUUCUGUAGCAAGGUUAACCGAAUAGGGGAGCCGAAGGGAAACCGAGUCUUAACUGGGCGUUAAGUUGCAGGGUAUAGACCCGAAACCCGGUGAUCUAGCCAUGGGCAGGUUGAAGGUUGGGUAACACUAACUGGAGGACCGAACCGACUAAUGUUGAAAAAUUAGCGGAUGACUUGUGGCUGGGGGUGAAAGGCCAAUCAAACCGGGAGAUAGCUGGUUCUCCCCGAAAGCUAUUUAGGUAGCGCCUCGUGAAUUCAUCUCCGGGGGUAGAGCACUGUUUCGGCAAGGGGGUCAUCCCGACUUACCAACCCGAUGCAAACUGCGAAUACCGGAGAAUGUUAUCACGGGAGACACACGGCGGGUGCUAACGUCCGUCGUGAAGAGGGAAACAACCCAGACCGCCAGCUAAGGUCCCAAAGUCAUGGUUAAGUGGGAAACGAUGUGGGAAGGCCCAGACAGCCAGGAUGUUGGCUUAGAAGCAGCCAUCAUUUAAAGAAAGCGUAAUAGCUCACUGGUCGAGUCGGCCUGCGCGGAAGAUGUAACGGGGCUAAACCAUGCACCGAAGCUGCGGCAGCGACGCUUAUGCGUUGUUGGGUAGGGGAGCGUUCUGUAAGCCUGUGAAGGUGGCCUGUGAGGGUUGCUGGAGGUAUCAGAAGUGCGAAUGCUGACAUAAGUAACGAUAAAGCGGGUGAAAAGCCCGCUCGCCGGAAGACCAAGGGUUCCUGUCCAACGUUAAUCGGGGCAGGGUGAGUCGACUCCUAAGGCGAGGCCGAAAGGCGUAGUCGAUGGGAAACAGGUUAAUAUUCCUGUACUUGGUGUUACUGCGAAGGGGGGACGGAGAAGGCUAUGUUGGCCGGGCGACGGUUGUCCCGGUUUAAGCGUGUAGGCUGGUUUUCCAGGCAAAUCCGGAAAACCAAGGCUGAGGCGUGAUGACGAGGCACUACGGUGCUGAAGU
rnacentral:rRNA from 1 species